rnacentral:tRNA from 1 species
AAGUGCUUGCACGCCUGGUGGCGGCCGCGGUCUUCAAAACCGUUGGGCGGCGCGUUAACCGCGUCGCUGGUGGGUUCGAUUCCCAUGCACUUCC